UGGGGAAUAUUGGACAAUGGGCGAAAGCCUGAUCCAGCCAUGCCGCGUGUGUGAAGAAGGCCUUUUGGUUGUAAAGCACUUUAAGCGAGGAUGAGGCUACUAGUACUAAUACUACUGGAUAGUGGACGUUACUCGCAGAAUAAGCACCGGCUAACUCUGUGCCAGCAGCCGCGGUAAUACAGAGGGUGCGAGCGUUAAUCGGAUUUACUGGGCGUAAAGCGUGCGUAGGCGGCUAAUUGAGUCGGAUGUGAAAUCCCCGAGCUUAACUUGGGAAUUGCAUUCGAUACUGGUUAGCUAGAGGGUGGGAGAGGAUGGUAGAAUUCCAGGUGUAGAGGUGAAAUGCGUAGAGAUCUGGAGGAAUAACGAUGGCGAAGGCAGCCAUCUGGCCUAACACUGACGCUGAGGUACGAAAGCAUGGGGAGCAAACAGG
rnacentral:rRNA from 1 species